CCUACGUGAGGCAGCAGUGAGGAAUAUUGGUCAAUGGGCGAGAGCCUGAACCAGCCAAGUCGCGUGAGGGAGUACUGCCCUAUGGGUUGUAAACCUCUUUUGUCGGGGAGCAAAAGCCGGACGUGUCCGGCUGUGAGAGUACCCGAAGAAAACGCAUCGGCUAACUCCGUGCCAGCAGGCGCGGUCAUACGGAACAUGCGAGCUUUAUCCGGAUUUAUUGGGUUUAAAGGGUGCGCAGGCGGAUGUUUAAGUCAGCGGUCAAAUCGUGGGGCUCAACCCCAUCCAGCCGUUGAAACUGGGGUUCUAGAGUGUGCGAGAGGUAGGCGGAAUGCGUGGUGUAGCGGUGACAUGCAU
rnacentral:rRNA from 1 species